AGUUCUUCCUCCAUGUUCCUUACUCCUGUCUCUGAUCAGCGUGGAGCCUCCGCGUCUACGCGUAACUCAGCGACCAGGUGCUGCACUAACGAUGUGCUCCGCAGCCAGGGUCACCCUGCUCCUGUGAGGAGGGGACGCCAAAAGCAGGAAUCUCGCCUGGGAGGUCCCCACCCUCUGAUAAAACACACACAGCUGCACCAAGGACGUCUGGGAAACAGGCAAGUCUGUAAGCGCUUGCUCUUGAAGCAAUUCCCGAUUCUUCUGCCCUGAAUAACUCAUCAUCUUGAGGUUGCCAAGAACCGUCGGUCAACGAAGGUGUGGGCCAGCUGUCACAGGACAGAGGUGAGCUGGGCUGAGGAUGGUGAGCUGGACUGAGGAUGGUGGGCAGGAGGCCGGCUGCGGGGGAGGAGGAACUCCCAGGUGAGGACCUGGUGCGCAUGACGGGGAAGAUACUAUCGCCACUCCUCUCGGAAACUCAUCCCAUGCCCCUAAUUCUUCAACCCCUCUUCCUAGAUUCUGCAGAGCCCUCAAACCCCACCCAUCUCCACACCUGGAAUUUAGGGACAUGCUACCCACUACCUACUCUUGACUUUAUAGGAGUACGGGGAAGCUUUUCAGGGGUUAUGUAAUUGUUCCUCAUUUUAAAAGUGAAAAAUAUUAACACAGUGCUCAAGUGAAUGGAUCUGGGGCCGGACUGCCUGGGUUCAAAGCACAGCUCCACCACAUUGCUCAGUCUUCCCCUCGCUUUCCUCUUCUAUGAAAUGGAAGUCAUAAUAGUAGCUAUGCUUGGCUUUAUUUUAAAGAUUAAAUGAAGGAAGACAUACAAAGUACUUAGAACAAGUCCUGUUGUAUAGUAACUACAAGUAUUGUCAGUAUCUUUUUUUUCUUUUUUUUUGAGAUGGAGUCUCUCAGUGUUGCCCAGGCAACACUAUGAAGGAGAGAAACACUAUGAAUCUAAUGAAUUUGGAAAAUUUAGCAAGAAAUUAAACUUUACCCAACAUCAAAGAAUGUACACAGGAGAAAAACCUGAUGAGUGUAAAGAAAAUUAGAAAGCCCUGAAGAAGUUAUACCAUACUCAAAAUGAGAGAACUCAAGCAGGAGAGAAAAUCUAUGAUUGUAAGAAAUGUGGGAAAUUCUUUCAUGAAAAAGCAUGCCUUACUCAACAUCAGAGAACCCACACAACAGGAAAACCCAGCAAGUGUAAUGAUAGUGAAAGAGUCUCAAAGAAGGAAUCUUGCCUCACUCCCAGUCAGAGAAUUAAAACAAGAUUAAAACAAGAGAGAAAAACUGUAAAGGUAAUAAAUGUGAGAAACCUUUCUUUGAGAAGUUGAAACACACUCAACAUCAGAGAAGGCACUUGGGGAAAAAAAAUAAUGGGUGUAAUGAAAGUGGGGUUGCCUCAAGUAGGAAGUCACAACUUACACAAAGCCAGAGAGCUCACAAAAAAGAGAAGACCUAUGACUGUAAUAAAUGUGGAGAAAGCUUCCAUAAGAAAACAGAUCUCAGACAGCAUCAGAGCACACACACAGGGAAAAAAAACCCUAUGAAUGUAAUGAAUGUGAAAAAUCCUUCGUUGUGAAGUCCAACUACACUGAACAUCAGAGAACUCACACAGGAGAAAAACCAUAUGAAUGUAAUGAAUGUGGAAAGUCCUUCUGCCAGAAAUCAGCCCUCACAGUACAUCGGAGAACUCACACGGGAGAGAAACCAUAUAAACGUAAUGAAUGUGGGAAAACCUUCUGUGUGAAAUCAAACCUUACUCAACAUCGAAGGACUCACACACUGUGAGAAACCCUAUAAAUGUAAUGAGUGCUGGAGAUCUUACUGUGUGAAAUCCAACCUUGUCGUGCAUCAGAGAACUCAUACAGGAGAAAAACCCUACAGAUGUCCUGAGUGUGGGAAAACCUUCUAUGAAAAGUCAGCCCUCACAAAACAUGAGCGAAUUCACACAGGGGAAAAACUCUAUGGAUGUAAUGAAUGUAGAAAAACCUUCAGCCAGAGGUCAGCCCUCACCAAACAUCAAAGGAAAACACACAAGAAGAAAACUCCCAUCAACACCCUCCAUGUGCAGAAACCUGCAUCUUCAAGCCAAAUUUGUUGAACAUCAGCAAACUCACAGGGCAGAAACACUAAGGUGUUAAUACCUGUAGGAAAGUAUUUGUUUAUAGGUUAUAACAAAUAGGAAUUAGAAAAUUAACAUAGGAGUGAAACCACAUGAAUGCUUUGAACAUGUGAAAGCUUUCAGCAAGUAUUCAGAGCUGUGGAGGAAAAAUUAAUUUUAAGGUAUGUGAAUGCAAAAUGUUCUUGUGCAUAAAAUGUUUAAGUAGAAGUCAUCUUUCAGAUGUAAUAUCAGAGUAAUUAAAGAAAAGAUUAGAAAAUGACUUGUUCUUAAUAGAAUGUGAAACAUGAUCCUUUUGUAAAACUAUGAAUUAUUUAAAUCAUUGACACAAUAGCGUUAAAUAUGUGUGAAGAUUUCCUGAAGUAUAUUGGGCUAUAUAUAGUUACAUAGGAUACGAGUGUGCUGUAUAACAUAAAUUAUGUAUAUGUUAGAUUUACACAUGGGAACACAACAAUACAAUAUAUUUUAUAAGUGAAAAUUGAACGGUCACAUAACCUGUGGCCCAACAAUUCCAAUUCUAGAUACAUACCAUAAAACAGUAAUUCUCAACUGGGCUUCCUAAAGUGUGUUUGGAAAUAUGUUGUUUUGAUUGUCACAUCAUUGACAUGCUACAAGCUCUGGGUAGAUGGGAGGCCAGAGAUGCUAAGUUCCCUACAAUGUAUCAGUGAAAGGACAGGAAAUAGUCUUAUCCAGAAUACCGGUAGUUUCACCACACAAAAAAAUUGCCUUACAGAAACUUGCACAUCUGCACCCA
rnacentral:lncRNA from 1 species